GGAGGUGGACGGAGGAUCGCCGGCGGACAGAUCACUUCGCGGGAGGAAAGUCCGGGCUCCACAGGGCAGGGAGGUCGCUAACGGCGACCCGGGGCGACCCGAGGGAAAGCGCCACAGAAACCACACCGCCGAUGGCCGGCGAGGCCCGGGGUCCGAGAGGCGGCCCCGGGAGGAGGCACAGGCAAGGGUGAAAUCGUGGGGUAAGAGCCCACGCGCGACAGCCGGGUGACCGGCGGCGGGGCAAGCCCCUCCCGGAGCAAGCUCGAAUAGGGACACCGUCGAGGGCGGCCCGUCCGACGGCCCCGCCGCGAGGCGGGGCGCGGUGUCCGGGUGGAGCGCUCGAGCGGCGCAGCAAUGCGUCGCCUAGAUGAAUGAUCCUCGCCGGCGCGCGGGGCGACCGCGCGUCGGAACAGAACCCGGCUUACAGUCCGCUCCGGGG
rnacentral:RNase_P_RNA from 1 species